rfam:Hordeum vulgare subsp. vulgare, WGS project CAJW01000000 data, contig: morex_contig_1722138
UAUAUACUCCCUCUGUUUGGAAUUACUUGUUGCACAAAUGUAUAAAAAUGGAUGUAUCUAGAAUUAAAAUACAUCUAGAUACAUCCAUUCCUAAUACAAAUAUUUCCGGACGGGGGGAGUAAUAU